UUUUCACUUUCACACUUGAUUCCCUCCAUAGCUUCCUUGGCUGAGUCCAGUGACACAUCACUUGAUAUGGGGUCCACAUCUGGCAUGGGCACCAAAGUGUCCUGGCAUCUAUAUACAGGUAUAAAAAUAAUACCCAAUGUCAUUAGAAAAGAUCUGGCAUGGGGAUACAACCAAACCAGCAGGCUUAUGUAAUAGAGUUAACAUCCAAUUACAGACACCAAUGAAAGACAUAGGGGGAGGAGAGGAAAGGAGAGAGAGAAUGCGUGAAAGAGGGGGUUGUGUAUAAGUUAAAUAUUAACGCAAUCACAACAGAAAUCAAAAGUGACAAAGGAAUAAAAUGGGUUUUGAUUGUAGUUGUUUGUUUUGAAGGAAGGACUUCCUGGAAGUGCAUCUUGAUGUAUGGCUGAGAAUGGACGUUAGGGGUUUUGAUGAAAAAGACCAGCUCAGACAGACACCCUCCAGCUUCCUCGAUGCGCGGGGCAAUAAUCUUCUCAUCUGGAGACAGAAAUCAAACCCAGUGUUACUCCUCCAACACACGUUCAGUCAGACCAGCCAGUUCAGAACCAGUUUGCUCUGCCUCAUUCUGCCCGGUGUGCAUGAGUGUGUGUGUUCACAUCUGAAAUUACUGACCUCAUCCUCAGCCCAGCUACCAUAAACCCCAGCCCUCAGUUGGCAUGGCUCAGGGUCUGUGUAUAUUCAUGUGGAACUGAGACUGAAAAAAAGUCUACCAAAACAUGUUCUAAGUGGUUAGUUUUCCGAUUUUGCACAAGGCAGUUCCACUUUACAUGCUCCAACGAGUGUGUGUGCAUUAUAUAUUAGAUACAUUAGACACAGAUUUUUAUUUUUAUUUUGCAAAUCUGUGUACUUGUCCGAGCCUUCUGCAUUUUGUAUGGCUGGUAGUAAUGGGUAACAGGAAAACUGUCAGAUUUUGCCAUUUUAAAACCUGCAUUUUUCCACCCAGACCGAGCAUGUCCCAUGUUUGGCCAGCGGAAGGAUUCAGUGCCAGCUGCACACCCACUGCCAGCCCAUGUGACAGACUUCCGGCAGCCUGAGGGCUGUGCCACUCAGCUGACCACAACCUAUGGCCACUGUGGCGGUUAAAGGAGAAGGCUGUUAACACACAGAGUGAAACGAUGUUUUUAGUGUACCACCAUACAUUAACAAGUGCUAUAGCGGCAGUUAUGUCUGUCAGGGACACUGAACUGAGAGGGGCCAAGCUAACUAGGAGACAUGUUUAGAGUCUCCAGCCCAACGUCUGAUCACUGAUACCCCCAGAAUGGCUAUAAAUGUAGUCGCCCCUUCACCUUCUUUUAUUAUUUGUUUUGUGAGUGUCUCAAGUUUCGUGUUCAUAAAUCUGAUUUUAUAACAUGCUUUUAUAGCCAAUGCUUUCACAUGGGAAGGGGCGUGAUGCAUGAUCUUCCCAAAGCUUUCACAAGGGAAGGAAACAUGCUCCGGUCCUGAACAACAUACUGUAUUUAUAUGGUGUUGACCCUCUGUCACUACAUGGCAGAAGGUGAUCUGACAGCGGUUCUAGCUGCAAGUCUUCUGGCACAUACUCACUGCAGGAGGGUCCAAGUCCCCUGGUUACCCCACAGCACCCAACCCUGUAGCGGGAAAAAUGCUUUGAAGAUUCACCAAGAGAAUCCUGCCAGCUUCCAAAUUUACUCCUGCAUCCCCUACCGGCUCUGGGUGCCCAUUAUGUUCACCCAUAAGGCACAGUGGCUUGGCAAGGUUGAAAACAGACAUUAACUCUGAUCUAGGAAAACCCUGUUCCCUCUGUAGUAUGCUGGUCAUAAGAUCAGGACACCUGACUGCUUGUUUGUAAACCAGUUUUACUGAUGUCUUUUCCCAUGCAGAAAAAAGGUCUGUAAAAAUCUAUAGAACUGAUUUGUUUUAUAUACAGUGUUUAUAAAAAAAAUGUGCAUUUGAAAUUCAAUUUCAAGGUAACUCAUAAUGUUGUAGUAAAACCUUUUGCUAAGAUUCAUUCUCCAUCUCAAACAUGUGAGGACACCACAUAAUAAAAUUCUACACAAUAUUA